UUUACAGUGUGUUCCGGUCCCCCAUGCCAGACUUUAUUCUCCACAGUUUGACAGAGUAAACUUCAACACGUUGGUGUACUCGCUAAAGGAGAAAACCGCCACACGAGUAGUCCGUGUCGCUCGUGGAGCUGAGUGCGGUGGGGUCCUGCGGGCGACAAUAACUCAAAUGGACACCUACCGAGCACCGCCUCUUGUUGUCAUGGUAAGAAAAUCCCUACUCGCCAUCGGCCUUGCCGUUUGUAGGAUGGGAUGAGGGCUGGCUCGCUUGCAUUAGACAGCGCUGCCCUCUCCAAUGGGUUGAUUUCAACUGGAAAAGAAAUAGUGUGCAUAAAGCGUCCUGUAAUUCUUGAUUCUUGGGAUAUCUUGAUGAAAGUUUCUUACAGACAUGUUACGACAACUGUG